rnacentral:lncRNA from 1 species
UAUUGCUGAAUCUUGGGAACCAGCUUCUACAUUGAGGGUUACAAUUCCCAAGGGCUAGUGAGACUAAGCAUUGAACCCUACUGAAGGAGCUCGGGCAUGUUUCAAUUCUUCUUUAGCCAUGUUAAGUAAUUUAAAAAGAUCAUAAUACAUUACCUCAAUCGAACUGCCGGUGUCCACUAAAUUUCUUGAUGACCAAAGGAUCGAUAUGAGGGUGUUGGACAUGCUCUAGAUCAACUUGGGUGAAGAAGAUGUUACCUAGCUCAAAUCGAUACUACCUCAACUUUUUGGUGUUUGGUUGGACUGAGAGUACCUCAUGCAUUUGGUGUACGAUGCGUAUUUUCUCUGGAUUUUAUUCUCGAGAUCGGGUUGGUGUAGUCCCCCAAUCUUCUUGCUCGAUACCACGGAUUUUCUAUCGCUUGGCUCUCCAAGUCAGUGCAGGAUUCGUGUUGCUUCCCUUUCUGACCUCCCCGAUUUGGGUCUUUCAAUCUUUUAGACCUUCCCUCAGAAAGUCCUUCUUUCGCCACUUGGACAAGCUUCAUUAGUUUAUUGUCAACCAAGAUUUGUACCAUUUCGGCUAGCUGGGUUUGCAAACAAUUGAUGGUAGGGAGCAACUGACCCAGUCUCUAACUAGAGGUGGCUUUGGUCGUCCUCUAGGUAUCGGCCAGUAGUUUAGCCCAUCUGUCACCAGGAGUCCUGGGUGCUUCAUGGGUCUCCCUUCAGAUUUCACGGCUACCGUAACAGAUGUUACUUUAUAAUGUCAUCAAGACUGGCUUUGCAGAUGUCUAUAAUCGAUUUUCCAUAAACAACGCCAAUUGUGCGGUGUAGUAUUCGUGAAGUGGAAGAAAGAAAAUUAAAGAUAGAUGCAUCCGACAGACCAGUGGUGGAAGAAGGUGAUUGCAGACAAUUGCUAGUUGCCAUGGCCAGGUUGUGACACAGAAACAGUGAGUUCGGCCGCCAGAGUUAUUUUUUGGAAAACGGCUCUCCAACGGUCAAGUUGUCUGAUAAAUUUACAUAUCUUUGAGAAAAUAAGGGUUGGUCUUAUAUAGCUCAAUUUAGCGCAUGCCUGUACGCGCCAAUUUUCGUGUUACUAGAUAGAUUGCAGCUCAGCGCAUGUCUGGGCAAGCUAACUAUUGUGUCAAUGAGUAGCCCGCUGAUCUAUCCAUGCCCUUAGGGCCUAGUUGGUAGCUAGCCAUCAUGUCAUCGACGUCUCGAUCUAAACGUUGGGGCUGUCAGAGGAAAUUUCAUCAUGCAAGUUAUCUUCUGUCCCCUGAUGUGCCUCAAGAUCGUCGCUGACUGUUGCCCAUCGACCAAGCUUCGACACGGUGACCAUGCCGAGCUUGCUAGAGAGCGACAACCUUGGCAGUGACGCUUGUCUUACCUCGGACAGAGCUAAUGUUCAGACUUCUUUCAACCGAGCUCCGGCUUGCUACAUUGCGACAGUUUGGAAGUGGUGUCUGACCUAGCAAGGCUGGUACUUGUAGUCGUGUAUAAAUAUAUAUAUAUAUAUAUAUAUAUGGUAACAAUUAGCAGCCAAUAAUUGUAAUUAGGUAGUAUCUAGCUCCUCUCCUAAGGAGUUUGUUAAAUUGUUAACCAAUAAAUAACUUUUGUAAAAGUUUAAGGAUCCAUUCCUUCUUUUUAAUUUUUUUUUUUUACGUUAGAUUAGACUUUUUAUGACCCACUGCUCUAAAAACUUAAACUGUUAAAAAAGAGAAAUUUUUAUGAUUCUAUUCCAUAAAAGCAUACAAAUAGACAACCCCAGUGAAAGCAUACAAAUUUAAUGGCACAAGAAUUGUCAAAAACCUAUUUUUGACUAAGUUUUGGGACCACAAAUUAAGAACCUAUGUAGGAUACACUCAUUUACUUUAGAUGAAUAGUAAUCCUCUCUAUUACACCCAAUAUAAUGGAAAAGUCUAUUGCACAAAAUGAUGAUGUUUUACAUUAAAAUUACGUCGUUUCAUUAUUGAUAUGAUAGAUAUAAAAAAUAUUAUUUUUUGACAAUUAUAUAAUAAUAUUUUUCACACAAAAAAUCAACAAUGUUGCCAAACAAUUCAUUUUUAGGAUCAUUUUCGUUUUUAGUGCAAUUUUUUAAAUUUUUUGGUCAUUUUUUUUUAAUUUUUUAGUUUGUGUUGAUUCUAGGACUCAAAAAUUAAAAUUAUUAUUAUUUAAAAAAAACUAUCAAAAUCUAUAUUCACCAAAAAUUUAAUAUUUUAUUCUUGAUUAGUUUGAAAUUUAUUAUUUUUUUUAAAAAAAAGUUUGUUUUACUUCUUUGAAUUAUUUAAUCAAUACGACCAAAUUUAUAGUAAAACAACUUAGUUGUAAUAUAAAACGACGUAAUUUUGGUGUAGUGAAUCUCUCCAUUACAUUGGGUGUAAUGAAGAGGAUCAUAAUCCACUUUAGAUUAUGUUUGUUGUUGGUGAACUUUCAUAUCUUUUGAUUAAAUUUUUUUACUUUUUCGUCUUCAGGAAUUAGAAAAGUAAAAAAAAAAAAAUCAAUUUAAAAAAAAAACACUAAAAUCAAGAUUAUUCCACAAUAAAAUCUAAAAUAAUAUAAUUUUGAUCAAUUUUUAUUUUAGUAAUCUUUUUGUAAAACUACUAAAAUUAUCCAAUCGAUCUCAAACGUACCUUGGGUGGGAGGUAUUUUCUUGAAGGUGUAGCCAAAAAAAUAUGGCCAUUGAAGAUGCUCUUGCAUGAUUUUCGGUAGGAGAGAGAGGAAGAGAGAGAGUUGCCAAUAUUGCUUCUUAAAUUUGUAUAAUUGUAUGAGAAUUAAACUAGAAUUUGAGCUUCAUCUUAUAUGAGUGUGUGUAUAUAUAUAUAGAUAUAGA